CCUACGGGACGCACCAGUGGGGAAUAUUGCACAAUGGGCGCAAGCCUGAUGCAGCCAUGCCGCGUGUGUGAAGAAGGCCUCCGGGUUGUAAAGCACUUUCAGCGAGGAGGAAGGUGGUGAACUUAAUACGUUCAUCAAUUGACGCUACUCGCAGAAGAAGCACCGGCUAACUCCGUGCCAGCAGCCGCGGUAAUACGGAGGGUGCAAGCGUUAAUCGGAAUUACUGGGCGUAAAGCGCACGCAGGCGGUUUGUUAAGUCAGAUGUGAAAUCCCCGGGCUCAACCUGGGAACUGCAUUUGAAACUGGCAAGCUAGAGUCUCGUAGAGGGGGGUAGAAUUCCAGGUGUAGCGGUGAAAUGCGUAGAGAUCUGGAGGAAUACCGGUGGCGAAGGCGGCCCCCUGGACGGAGACUGACGCUCAGGUGCGAAAGCGUGGGGAGCAAACAGGAUUAGAUACCCCCGUAGUC
rnacentral:rRNA from 1 species